rnacentral:rRNA from 1 species
UACGUAGGGGGCAAGCGUUGUCCGGAAUUAUUGGGCGUAAAGCGCGCGCAGGCGGUUUCUUAAGUCUGAUGUGAAAGUCAAAGGCUCAACCUUUGAAAGCCGAUGGAUACUGCAGGGCUAGAGUACGGAAGAGGCGAGUGGAAUUCCUGGUGUAGCGGUGGAAUGCGUAGAUAUCGGGAGGAACACCAGUGGCGAAGGCGGCUUCCUGGACCGGUUCUGACACUGAGGAGCGAAAGCGUGGGGAGCGAGCCGG